GUUUUCACUGUUGGGAGAAGGUGAGAACCUUCGACAAGGUUCGAGUCGAGCAGCGCGAGACAACGUGCGCAGCACGGCCCGCAGGGUGAGGAGCGAAGCGACGAAUAAUCCUUCUCCCACCACCA
rnacentral:sRNA from 1 species